rnacentral:rRNA from 1 species
CACGUAGGGUGCGAGCGUUGUCCGGAAUUAUUGGGCGUAAAGAGCUCGUAGGCGGUCUGUCGCGUCUGCUGUGAAAACUCAGGGCUUAACCCUGAGCUUGCAGUGGGUACGGGCAGACUAGAGUGCGGUAGGGGAGACUGGAAUUCCUGGUGUAGCGGUGAAAUGCGCAGAUAUCAGGAGGAACACCGGUGGCGAAGGCGGCAUUCUGGACCAUUACUGACGGCUGAGGAGCGAAAGCCAGGGGAGCAAAACGGG